rnacentral:misc_RNA from 1 species
GGCGACACUCCACCAUAGAUCACUCCCCUGUGAGGAACUACUGUCUUCACGCAGAAAGCGUCUAGCCAUGGCGUUAGUAUGAGUGUCGUGCAGCCUCCAGGACCCCCCCUCCCGGGAGAGCCAUAGUGGUCUGCGGAACCGGUGAGUACACCGGAAUUGCCAGGACGACCGGGUCCUUUCUUGGAUCAACCCGCUCAAUGCCUGGAGAUUUGGGCGUGCCCCCGCGAGACUGCUAGCCGAGUAGUGUUGGGUCGCGAAAGGCCUUGUGGUACUGCCUGAUAGGGUGCUUGCGAGUGCCCCGGGAGGUCUCGUAGACCGUGCACCAUGAGCACGAAUCCUAAACCUCAAAGAAAAACCAAACGUAACACCAACCGCCGUCCACAGGACGUCAAGUUCCCGGGCGGUGGUCAGAUCGUUGGUGGAGUUUACCUGUUGCCGCGCAGGGGCCCCAGGUUGGGUGUGCGCGCGCUCAGGAAGACUUCCGAGCGGUCGCAACCUCGUGGAAGGCGACAACCUAUCCCCAAGGCUCGCCGACCCGAGGGCAGGGCCUGGGCUCAGCCCGGGUACCCUUGGCCCCUCUAUGGCAAUGAGGGCAUGGGGUGGGCAGGAUGGCUCCUGUCACCCCGUGGUUCUCGGCCUAGUUGGGGCCCCUCAGACCCCCGGCGUAGGUCGCGUAAUUUGGGUAAGGUCAUCGAUACCCUUACAUGCGGCUUCGCCGACCUCAUGGGGUACAUUCCGCUCGUCGGCGCCCCUCUAGGGGGCGCCGCCAGGGCCCUGGCGCAUGGCGUCCGGGUUCUGGAGGACGGCGUGAACUAUGCAACAGGGAAUUUGCCCGGUUGCUCUUUCUCUAUCUUCCUCUUGGGUUUGCUGUCUUGUUUGACCAUCCCAGCUUCCGCUUAUGAAGUGCGCAACGUGUCCGGGGUGUACCAUGUCACGAACGACUGCUCCAACGCAAGCAUUGUGUAUGAGGCAGCGGACAUGAUCAUGCACGUCCCCGGGUGCGUGCCCUGCGUUCGGGUGGACAACUCCUCCCGUUGCUGGGUAGCGCUCACCCCCACGCUUGCGGCCAGGAACGCUAGCGUCCCUACUACGGCAAUACGACGCCACGUCGAUUUGCUCGUUGGGGCGGCUACUUUCUGUUCCGCUAUGUACGUGGGGGAUCUCUGCGGAUCUGUUUUCCUCGUCGCCCAGCUGUUCACCUUCUCGCCCCGCCGGCAUGAGACGGUACAGGACUGCAAUUGUUCAAUCUAUCCCGGCCACAUAACGGGUCACCGCAUGGCUUGGGAUAUGAUGAUGAACUGGUCACCCACAGCAGCCCUAGUCGUAUCGCAGUUACUCCGGAUCCCACAAGCUAUCGUGGAUAUGGUGGCGGGGGCCCACUGGGGAGUCCUGGCGGGCCUCGCCUACUAUUCCAUGGUGGGGAACUGGGCUAAGGUUUUGAUUGUGAUGCUACUCUUUGCCGGCGUUGACGGGGACACCCACACGACGGGGGGGGUGGCGGGCCGCGACACGCUGCGCUUCACGGGGUUCUUUUCAUUGGGGCCGAAACAAAAGAUCCAGCUUGUAAACACCAACGGCAGCUGGCACAUCAACAGGACUGCCCUGAACUGCAAUGACUCCCUCAACACUGGGUGGCUCGCCGCGCUGUUCUACACACACAGCUUCAACGCGUCUGGAUGCCCAGAGCGGAUGGCCAGCUGCCACCCCAUCGACGAGUUCGCUCAGGGGUGGGGUCCCAUUACUUACGCUGAACAUAGCAGCUCGGACCAGAGGCCCUACUGUUGGCACUACGCACCUCAGCCGUGCGGUAUUGUACCCGCGUCGGAGGUGUGUGGUCCAGUGUAUUGCUUCACCCCAAGCCCUGUUGUGGUGGGGACAACCGAUCGUCACGGCGUCCCUACGUAUAGCUGGGGGGAGAAUGGGACGGACGUGCUGCUUCUCAACAACACGCGGCCGCCGCAAGGCAACUGGUUCGGCUGUACAUGGAUGAACGGCACUGGGUUCACCAAGACGUGCGGGGGCCCCCCGUGUAACAUCGGGGGGGUCGGCAACAACACCCUGACCUGCCCCACGGACUGCUUCCGGAAGCACCCCGAGGCCACUUACACCAAAUGCGGCUCGGGGCCUUGGUUGACACCUAGGUGCAUGGUUGACUACCCAUACAGGCUCUGGCACUACCCCUGCACUGUCAACUUCACCAUCUUUAAGGUUAGGAUGUAUGUGGGGGGCGUGGAACACAGGCUCAGCGCCGCAUGCAAUUGGACUCGAGGAGAGCGUUGUGACCUGGAGGACAGGGAUAGAUCAGAGCUUAGCCCGCUGCUGCUGUCCACAACAGAGUGGCAGGUGCUGCCCUGUUCCUUCACCACCCUACCGGCUCUGUCCACUGGUUUGAUCCAUCUCCACCAGAACAUCGUGGACGUGCAAUACUUGUACGGUAUAGGGUCGGUGGUUGUCUCCUUUGCAAUCAAAUGGGAGUAUGUCGUGUUGCUCUUCCUUCUCCUGGCAGACGCGCGCGUCUGUGCCUGCUUGUGGAUGAUGCUGCUGAUAGCCCAAGCUGAGGCCGCCUUAGAGAACCUGGUGGUCCUCAAUGCAGCGUCCGUGGCCGGAGCACAUGGCAUUCUCUCCUUCCUUGUGUUUUUCUGUGCUGCCUGGUACAUCAAGGGCAGGCUGGUCCCUGGAGCGGCAUAUGCUAUCUAUGGCGUAUGGCCGCUACUCCUGCUCCUGCUGGCGCUACCACCACGGGCAUACGCCUUGGACCGGGAGAUGGCUGCAUCGUGCGGAGGCGCGGUUUUCGUAGGUCUGGUACUCUUGACCUUGUCACCACACUAUAAAGAGUUCCUCGCCAGGCUUAUAUGGUGGUUGCAAUACUACAUCACCAGAGCCGAGGCGCUACUGCAAGUGUGGAUCCCCCCCCUCAAUGUUCGGGGGGGCCGCGACGCCAUCAUCCUCCUCACGUGUGUGGUCCACCCAGAGCUAAUUUUUGACAUCACCAAGCUCUUGCUCGCCAUGCUCGGCCCGCCCAUGGUGCUCCAGGCUGUCAUAACCAAGGUGCCGUACUUUGUGCGCGCUCAAGGGCUCAUUCGUGCAUGCAUGUUGGUGCGGAAAGUCGCUGGGGGCCAUUACGUCCAAAUGGCUCUCAUGAAGCUGGCCGGGUUGACAAGCACGUACGUUUAUGACCAUCUUACUCCGUUGCAGGACUGGGCCCACGGCGGCCUACGAGACCUCGCGGUGGCAGUUGAGCCCGUUGUUUUUUCUGACAUGGAGACCAAGAUCAUCACCUGGGGGGCGGACACUGCGGCGUGUGGUGACAUCAUCUCGGGGUUACCUGUCUCCGCCCGAAGGGGGAGGGAGAUACUCCUGGGACCGGCCGAUAGUCUUAAAGAGCAGGGAUGGCGACUCCUUGCACCCAUCACGGCUUACUCCCAACAGACGCGGGGCCUACUUGGUUGCAUCAUCACUAGCCUCACAGGCCGGGACAAGAACCAGGUCGAGGGGGAGGUUCAAGUGGUCUCCACCGCAACACAAUCUUUCCUGGCGACCUGUGUCAACGGCGUGUGUUGGACUGUGUAUCAUGGCGCCGGCUCAAAGACCCUAGCCGGCCCAAAAGGUCCAGUCACCCAAAUGUACACCAAUGUAGACCAGGACCUCGUCGGCUGGCCCGCGCCCCCCGGGGCGCGUUCCUUGACACCAUGCACCUGUGGCAGCUCGGACCUUUACUUGGUCACGAGACAUGCCGAUGUCAUCCCGGUGCGCCGGCGGGGCGACAGCAGGGGAAGCCUACUCUCCCCCAGGCCCGUCUCCUACUUGAAGGGCUCUUCGGGUGGUCCAUUGCUCUGCCCCUCGGGGCACGCUGUGGGCAUCUUCCGGGCUGCUGUGUGCACCCGGGGGGUCGCGAAGGCGGUGGACUUUGUGCCCGUUGAGUCUAUGGAAACUACUAUGCGGUCUCCGGUCUUCACGGACAAUUCAUCUCCCCCGGCCGUACCGGAGACAUUCCAGGUGGCCCAUCUACACGCUCCCACCGGUAGCGGCAAGAGCACUAAGGUGCCGGCUGCAUAUGCAGCUCAAGGGUACAAGGUACUCGUCCUGAACCCGUCCGUUGCCGCCACCCUGGGCUUUGGGGCGUACAUGUCCAAGGCACAUGGUACCGACCCCAACAUCAGAACUGGGGUAAGGACCAUCACCACGGGCGCUCCCAUUACGUACUCCACCUAUGGCAAGUUCCUCGCCGAUGGUGGUUGUUCUGGGGGCGCCUAUGACAUUAUAAUAUGUGAUGAGUGCCACUCAACUGACUCGACUACCAUCCUGGGCAUUGGCACAGUCCUGGACCAAGCGGAGACGGCUGGAGCACGGCUCGUCGUGCUCGCCACCGCUACGCCUCCGGGAUCGGUCACCGUGCCGCAUCCCAACAUCGAGGAGGUGGCCCUGUCCAACAUUGGAGAGAUCCCCUUCUAUGGCAAAGCCAUCCCCAUUGAAACCAUCAAGGGGGGAAGACACCUCAUUUUCUGCCAUUCCAAGAAGAAGUGUGACGAGCUCGCUGCAAAGCUGUCGGGCCUCGGACUCAACGCUGUAGCGUAUUACCGGGGCCUUGACGUGUCCGUCAUACCGACCAGCGGAGACGUCGUUGUCGUAGCAACAGACGCUCUAAUGACGGGCUUUACCGGCGACUUUGACUCAGUGAUCGACUGUAACACAUGUGUCACCCAAACAGUCGAUUUCAGCUUGGACCCUACCUUCACCAUUGAGACGACGACCGUGCCCCAAGACGCAGUGUCGCGCUCGCAACGGCGAGGCAGGACUGGUAGGGGCAGGAGAGGCAUCUACAGGUUUGUGACUCCGGGAGAGCGGCCCUCGGGCAUGUUCGAUUCCUCGGUCCUGUGUGAGUGCUAUGACGCGGGCUGUGCUUGGUAUGAGCUCACGCCCGCCGAGACUUCGGUUAGGUUGCGGGCUUACCUAAACACACCAGGGUUGCCCGUCUGCCAAGACCACCUGGAGUUCUGGGAGAGCGUCUUCACAGGCCUCACCCACAUAGACGCCCACUUCUUGUCCCAGACCAAACAAGCGGGAGAGAACUUCCCCUACCUGACAGCGUACCAGGCCACAGUGUGUGCCAGGGCUCAGGCUCCACCUCCAUCGUGGGAUCAAAUGUGGAAGUGUCUCAUACGGCUAAAGCCUACGCUGCACGGGCCAACACCCCUGCUGUAUAGGCUAGGAGCCGUCCAAAACGAGGUCGUCCUUACACACCCCAUAACCAAAUACAUCAUGGCAUGCAUGUCGGCUGACCUAGAGGUCGUCACGAGCACCUGGGUGCUAGUGGGCGGAGUCCUCGCAGCCCUGGCUGCGUAUUGCCUGACAACGGGCAGCGUGGUCAUUGUGGGCAGGAUUAUCUUGUCCGGGAGGCCGGCUAUCAUUCCCGACAGGGAAGUCCUUUACCAGGAGUUCGAUGAGAUGGAAGAGUGCGCCUCACACCUUCCUUACAUCGAACAGGGAAUGCAGCUCGCCGAACAAUUCAAACAGAAGGCGCUCGGGUUGCUGCAGACAGCCACUAAGCAAGCGGAGGCUGCUGUUCCCGUGGUGGAAUCCAAGUGGCAAGCCCUUGAGGCUUUUUGGGCGAAGCACAUGUGGAACUUCAUCAGCGGGAUACAGUACUUAGCAGGCUUGUCCACUCUGCCUGGGAACCUCGCAAUAGCAUCACUGAUGGCAUUCACAGCCUCCAUCACCAGCCCGCUCACCACCCAACAUACCCUCCUGUUUAACAUCUUGGGGGGAUGGGUGGCUGCCCAACUCGCUCCCCCCAGCGCCGCCUCAGCUUUCGUAGGCGCCGGCAUCGCCGGUGCGGCCGUUGGCAGCAUAGGCCUUGGGAAGGUGCUUGUGGACAUCCUGGCGGGCUAUGGAGCAGGAGUGGCUGGCGCGCUCGUGGCCUUUAAAGUCAUGAGCGGCGAGAUGCCCUCCACCGAGGACCUGGUCAACUUACUCCCUGCCAUCCUCUCUCCUGGCGCCCUGGUCGUCGGGGUCGUGUGCGCAGCAAUACUGCGUCGGCAUGUGGGCCCUGGGGAGGGGGCUGUGCAGUGGAUGAACCGGCUGAUAGCGUUCGCUUCGCGGGGUAACCACGUGUCCCCCACGCACUAUGUGCCUGAGAGCGACGCCGCAGCGCGUGUCACUCAGAUCCUCUCCAGCCUUACCAUCACCCAGCUGUUGAAGAGGCUCCACCAGUGGAUUAACGAGGACUGCUCCACGCCAUGCUCCGGUUCGUGGCUAAGGGAUGUUUGGGACUGGAUAUGCACGGUGUUGACUGACUUCAAGACCUGGCUCCAGUCCAAGCUCCUGCCACGGUUACCGGGAAUCCCUUUUUACUCAUGCCAGCGUGGGUACAAGGGAGUAUGGCGGGGAGACGGCAUCAUGCAAACCACCUGCCCAUGUGGAGCACAGAUCACUGGACAUGUCAAAAACGGUUCCAUGAGGAUCGUUGGGCCUAAAACCUGCAGCAACACGUGGCACGGAACAUUCCCCAUCAACGCAUACACCACGGGCCCCUGCACACCCUCCCCGGCGCCAAACUAUUCUAGGGCGCUGUGGCGGGUGGCUGCUGAGGAGUAUGUGGAGGUUACGCGGGUGGGGGAUUUCCACUACGUGACGGGCAUGACCACUGACAACGUAAAAUGCCCAUGCCAGGUUCCGGCUCCCGAAUUCUUCACGGAGGUGGAUGGGGUGCGGCUGCACAGGUACGCCCCGGCGUGCAAACCCCUCCUACGGGAUGAAGUCACAUUCCAGGUCGGGCUCAACCAAUACGUGGUUGGGUCACAACUCCCAUGCGAGCCCGAACCGGAUGUAGUGGUGGUCACUUCCAUGCUUACCGACCCCUCCCACAUUACAGCAGAGACGGCUAAGCGUAGGCUGGACAGGGGGUCUCCCCCCUCCUUGGCCAGCUCUUCAGCUAGCCAGUUGUCUGCGCCUUCCUUGAAGGCGACAUGCACUACCCGUCACGACUCCCCAGACGCUGACCUCAUUGAGGCCAACCUCCUGUGGCGGCAGGAGAUGGGCGGAAACAUCACCCGCGUGGAGUCUGAAAACAAGGUAGUAAUUCUGGACUCUUUCGACCCGCUUCGAGCGGAGGAGGAUGAGAGGGAAGUAUCCGUCGCGGCGGAGAUUCUGCGGAAAUCCAGGAGAUUCCCCCGAGCGAUGCCCAUAUGGGCACGGCCGGAUUACAACCCCCCACUGCUAGAGUCCUGGAAGGAUCCGGACUACGUCCCUCCGGUGGUGCACGGGUGCCCAUUACCACCUACCAAGGCCCCUCCAAUACCACCUCCACGGAAAAAGAGGACGGUUGUCCUGACAGAGUCCACCGUGUCUUCUGCCUUGGCGGAGCUUGCUACAAAGACCUUCGGCAGCUCCGAAUCGUCGGCCGUCGACAGCGGCACGGCGACCGCCCCUCCUGACCAGCCCCCCGACAACGACGACACAGGAUCCGACGUUGAAUCGUGCUCCUCCAUGCCCCCCCUUGAGGGGGAGCCGGGGGAUCCCGAUCUCAGCGACGGGUCUUGGUCUACCGUGAGCGAGGAGGCUAGUGAGGACGUCGUCUGCUGUUCGAUGUCCUACACGUGGACGGGCGCUCUGAUCACACCAUGCGCCGCGGAAGAAAGCAAGCUGCCCAUCAAUGCGUUGAGCAACUCUUUGCUGCGUCAUCACAACAUGGUGUACGCCACAACCUCCCGCAGCGCAAGCCAGCGGCAGAAGAAGGUCACUUUUGACAGACUGCAAGUCCUGGACGACCACUACCGGGACGUGCUCAAGGAGAUGAAGGCGAAGGCGUCCACAGUUAAGGCUAAACUUCUAUCCGUAGAAGAAGCCUGCAAGCUGACACCCCCACAUUCGGCCAGAUCUAAAUUUGGCUACGGGGCGAAGGACGUCCGGAACCUAUCCAGCAAGGCCGUUAACCACAUCCGCUCCGUGUGGAAGGACUUGCUGGAAGACACUGAAACACCAAUUGAUACUACCAUCAUGGCAAAGAAUGAGGUCUUCUGCGUCCAACCAGAAAAAGGAGGCCGCAAGCCAGCUCGCCUUAUCGUGUUCCCAGACUUGGGGGUGCGCGUAUGCGAGAAGAUGGCUCUUUAUGACGUGGUCUCCACCCUUCCUCAGGCCGUGAUGGGCCCCUCGUACGGAUUUCAGUACUCUCCUGGACAGCGGGUCGAGUUCCUGGUAAAUGCCUGGAAAUCAAAGAAGUGUCCUAUGGGCUUCGCAUAUGACACCCGCUGUUUUGACUCAACGGUCACUGAGAGUGACAUCCGUGUUGAGGAGUCAAUUUACCAAUGUUGUGACUUGGCCCCCGAAGCCAGACAGGCCAUAAAGUCGCUCACAGAGCGGCUUUACAUCGGGGGUCCCCUGACUAAUUCAAAAGGGCAGAACUGCGGUUAUCGCCGAUGCCGCGCAAGCGGCGUGCUGACGACUAGCUGCGGUAAUACCCUUACAUGUUACUUGAAGGCCUCUGCGGCCUGUCGAGCUGCAAAGCUCCAGGACUGCACGAUGCUCGUGUGCGGAGACGACCUCGUCGUUAUCUGUGAAAGCGCGGGAACCCAAGAGGACGCGGCGAGCCUACGAGUCUUCACGGAGGCCAUGACUAGGUACUCUGCCCCCCCCGGGGACCCGCCCCAACCAGAAUACGACCUGGAGCUGAUAACAUCAUGCUCCUCGAAUGUGUCGGUCGCGCACGAUGCAUCCGGCAAGAGAGUAUACUACCUCACCCGUGACCCCACCACCCCCCUUGCGCGGGCUGCGUGGGAGACAGCUAGACACACUCCAGUUAACUCCUGGCUAGGCAACAUCAUCAUGUAUGCGCCCACUUUGUGGGCGAGGAUGAUUCUGAUGACACACUUCUUCUCCAUCCUUCUAGCUCAGGAACAACUUGAAAAAGCCCUAGAUUGUCAGAUCUACGGGGCCUGUUACUCCAUAGAGCCACUUGACCUACCUCAAAUCAUUCAGCGACUCCAUGGUCUUAGCGCAUUUUCACUCCACAGUUACUCCCCAGGUGAGAUCAAUAGGGUGGCUUCAUGCCUCAGGAAACUUGGGGUACCGCCCUUGCGAGCCUGGAGACAUCGGGCCAGAAGUGUCCGCGCUAAGCUACUGUCCCAGGGGGGAAGGGCUGCCACUUGUGGCCGCUACCUCUUCAACUGGGCAGUAAAGACCAAACUUAAACUCACUCCAAUUCCGGCUGCGUCCCAGUUGGACUUGUCCAACUGGUUCGUUGCUGGUUACAGCGGGGGAGACAUAUAUCACAGCCUGUCUCGUGCCCGACCCCGCUGGUUCAUGUGGUGCCUACUCCUACUUUCUGUAGGGGUAGGCAUCUACCUGCUCCCCAACCGAUGAACGGGGAGCUAACCACUCCAGG